ACACUCCUACGGGAGGCAGCAGUGGGGAAUUUUGGACAAUGGGCGAAAGCCUGAUCCAGCCAUGCCGCGUGCAGGAUGAAGGCCUUCGGGUUGUAAACUGCUUUUGUACGGAACGAAACGGCCUUUUCUAAUAAAGAGGGCUAAUGACGGUACCGUAAGAAUAAGCACCGGCUAACUACGUGCCAGCAGCCGCGGUAAUACGUAGGGUGCAAGCGUUAAUCGGAAUUACUGGGCGUAAAGCGUGCGCAGGCGGUUAUGUAAGACAGUUGUGAAAUCCCCGGGCUCAACCUGGGAACUGCAUCUGUGACUGCAUAGCUAGAGUACGGUAGAGGGGGAUGGAAGUCCGCGUGUAGCAGUGAAAUGCGUAGAUAUGCGGAGGAACACCGAUGGCGAAGGCAAUCCCCUGGACCUGUACUGACGCUCAUGCACGAAAGCGUGGGGAGCAAACAGGAUUAGAUACCCCAGUAGUCCCAUGA
rnacentral:rRNA from 1 species